GAUGAAGAACGUAGCAAAAUGCGAUAAGUAAUGUGAAUUGCAGAAUUCAGUGAAUCAUCGAAUCUUUGAACGCACAUUGCGCCCGCUGGUAUUCCGGCGGGCAUGCCUGUUCGAGCGUCAUUUCAACCCUCAAGCCCCCGGGUUUGGUGUUGGGGAUCGGCUCUGCCCUUCUGGGCGGUCCCGCCCCCGAAAUACAUUGGCGGUCUCGCUGCAGCCUCCAUUGCGUAGUAGCUAACACCUCGCAACUGGAACGCGGCGCGGCCAUGCCGUAAAACCCCAACUUCUGAAUGUUGACCUCGGAUCAGGUAGGAAUACCCGCUGAACUUAAGCAUAUCAAUAAGCGGAGGA
rnacentral:misc_RNA from 1 species